rnacentral:rRNA from 1 species
UGCCGCGUGAGUGAAGAAGGCCUUCGGGUUGUAAAGCUCUUUCGGCGGGGAAGAAAAGGUACGUGCUAAUACCACGGACUAAUGACAGUACCCGAAGAAGAAGCACCGGCUAACUACGUGCCAGCAGCCGCGGUAAUACGUAGGGUGCAGGCGUUAAUCGGAAUUACUGGGCGUAAAGCGUGCGCAGGCGGUUUGUUAAGACAGAUGUGAAAUCCCCGGGCUUAACCUGGGAACUGCGUAUGUUACUGGCAAGCUAGAGUGUGGCAGAGGGGGGUGGAAUUCCAAGUGUAGCAGUGAAAUGCGUAGAUAUUUGGAGGAACACCGAUGGCGAAGGCAGCCCCCUGGGCUAACACUGACGCUCAUGCACGAAAGCGUGGGGAGCAAACAGGAUUAGAUACCCUGGUAGUCCACGCCCUAAACUAUGUCAACUGGUUGUCGGGGAAGCAAUUCCUUGGUAACGAAGCUAACACG